rnacentral:snRNA from 1 species
GAGUGCUACAGCUCUUUCAGAAUUUGUCCGUCAGGUUUUCUACUCCUUAAUGGAAACCCCCC